rnacentral:rRNA from 1 species
CCUUCUUUUUCGCGCUUUUUCCGGAUUUACUGGGCGUAAAGCGCGUGUAGGCGGGCGAUUAAGUUGGGUGUGAAAGCCCGGGGCUCAACCCCGGGGUGCCGCCCAAGACUGGUCGCCUUGAGGACGGAAGAGGGGAGUGGAAUUCCUGGUGUAGCGGUGAAAUGCGUAGAGAUCAGGAGGAACACCCGUGGCGAAGGCGGCUCCCUGGUCCGUUUCUGACGCUGAGACGCGAAAGCGCGGGGAGCGAACGGGA